GAUGAACGCUGACAGAAUGCUUAACACAUGCAAGUCGAACGGAGACAUCUUUAGCUUGCUUUAGAUGUCUUAGUGGCGGACGGGUGAGUAACACGUGAGCAACCUGCCUUUCAGAGGGGGAUAACGUUUGGAAACGAACGCUAAUACCGCAUAACGUAUACGGACGGCAUCGUCUGUAUACCAAAGGAGCAAUCCGCUGAAAGAUGGGCUCGCGUCCGAUUAGCUAGAUGGUGAGGUAACGGCUCACCAUGGCGACGAUCGGUAGCCGGACUGAGAGGUUGAUCGGCCACAUUGGGACUGAGACACGGCCCAG
rnacentral:rRNA from 1 species